rnacentral:lncRNA from 1 species
UAUCCAUAGAUGAUUUGUAUAUUGGAUUGUGUCUCCCUUAUGGUAGUUAUUUAUGGUAGUUAUUGUUUGAUAUUAUUGCAUGCCAUUUUAUUUAUGAUUCUUAUGUUUAGAUAAUUAUUUACGAUAUUUCUGCUGGAGUUACUAACGCUCUUUUGUUUUUGUUUUUCCUUUCCUUCCUUGAGCCGAGGGUCGAUUGGAAACAGCCUCUCUGCCCUUUCGGGUAGGGGUAAGGCCUAUCU